rnacentral:lncRNA from 1 species
ACCACCCAAACUACCAAAUGGAUCACAUAUAACCACUUCUAAAACAUAACCCUAACACACACUUGCACAUCUUCUACUGCUGCCCCCUUUCUCUUUUCCCCUUUCUCUAUCGAUGAAAGUAAGAUUGCUCAUCUAAUCAGAUCCGGUUCGUUCUUUGUUCUUGUCCGAUCAUGGCUGGAUAUCCUAGAUACUUCGGUCCAGAUCAUCCCAUUUUCAGACAUUUCUAUCAGAUCAAAAGGGGAUAAGCGAAUAUGCUGGAUUUGACUCUGUAAAAGGAUUGGUCUAUCGAGCAAGUGUUUGUAGGUUUUGAUUGCAGAAAGGAGUAGCUAUAUUUGGGUGUCUCUGAGAAAGGAGAAGGUUUACACACGAUUGGGCGAAGGAAGGAAUUGUCCAUUGAUGCAACCUGAAAGAAAAAAAAAGGUGGAGUUUACAAUCAGCCGCAAUAAACAGGGUAGGGAUAUGGUAAAAAGUGUCUAAAAUGUAAGAAGGGUAAGAAGUGUUUUAAACCAUUGGAUAUUUGAUCUAAUGGUUGAGAUCAAUAGGGUAUAAAAUGUAAAUUGUGUUUUAAUUAGAAGGACCUUAUGUAAAAAUUGAAGGGCAAUAGUGACUUUUCCAACGUUUCAAAAUAUGGUAACCGUUUCAAAACCCCCAUCAACCUUCCUAAAGAUCAGCGAAUUAUAUGGUAACCAGCGAAUUAUAUGGUAACCGUCAUCAAUCUCCAAAAAAUCAACGAAUUUCUUCAUACUUUAUCAUAAAUAGAUCUAUAAUCAGAUUCAUGGCGUGUUGUUUUAAAAAACUGGAUAAAUUGACUAUGAUUCAGGUCAUGGUGUUUUAUGUGUUUUAUCUGGAGACAUUGUUCAUGUCGUGGUGUUUUAUACGCUUAUGAUUCAAGUCAUGGUGUUUUAUCUGGAGACAUUGUUCAUGGCGUAGUGUUUUAUCAAUAGAAAACGUUCACAGAUUUUAAAACACCAUGACUAUGAUUCAAGUCAUGGUGUUUUAUCUGAAGACAUUGUUCUUGGCGUGGUGUUUUAAAACAUCUAUGAUUCAAGUCAUGGUGUUUUAUCAGGAGACAUUGUUCAUGGCGGGGUGUUUUAUCAAUACAAAAACAUCCCCAGAUUUUAAAACACCAUGACUAUGAUUCAAGUCAUGGUGUUUUAUCUGUAGACAUUGUUCAUGUUGUAGUGUUUUAAACAUCUAUGAUUCAAGUCAUGGUGUUUUAUAUGGAGACAUUGUAUAAUCAGAUUCAUGGCGUGGUGUUUUAAAAUAACUGGAUAAAUUGACUAUGAUUCAAGUCAUGGUGUUUUAUCUAGAAUCCAGAAAACAUUGUAUUGUGAUUACAUCCAUGGUGUUUUAACAUCUAGACAAUCAAAAUACAAAACAUUCCCAUAUUUUAAAACACCAUGACCAUGAUUCAAGUCACGAUCAGAAAUGAGGAUGACGAAGAUGAAAGACGAUGACGGUGAAUGAUUUGUGGAGACGAAAGAAAUUGGUGACGGUGGUCGGAGAUGCAUGUGUGUUCAAAUCGGAGAAGAUGACGUGAUGAUGAUGAUGAAACAAUCAAUCCCUAAAAAUUCUCAUGGCCAGUUUUUUUUUUCCAGUUAUAUUGUAAAUCAAUUAAAUGACAAAAAUGUACAAUUACUAAUCUACCCUUUUGAAUUAAUUAAGAGGAGGGACACUUGUCAUUCCAAGAUUAUU